AGUCGUUUUCCUUUUCUGUCAAAACUCCGUAAUAUUUAUCGAUCACCUUACUAAUGAAAUGGACCCGUCCAAACGUAGUAGAUGCCAAGUCGGUCCAGAUGAAGAGAUAUUUACAAUUUGGAAUUUUCUAGUUUAUUAAUACAUAGAUUGAAAAAAAGUACGUCUUUUUAAAUAUUCAUGAUCAAAACUGGGUUUGCAUAACAAAUGUCAGAUGAAACCAUUAUCCUCGUCUUUUCAGUGAACAAGUCUACUACGUUUGUUGACACUCGACGGUCCACCGUGUUAGCAAUUUUAGGGACGACAUCAAAAGUUCAAUGAAGGAUAAAAAAACUUAAUUCACAUAGUUUUUUCACUGACCCCCCACCCCCCUCUUAACUUAAUUUGGGAAAAAUCGAUUGACCCAUAUAGAUAUAUGUAAAAAUCAAUGUCGGAUAACCAAAUCUUGCAGCAGUUCAAUCCCCCCACCCCCAAACUAUUUGAAUUAAGUUUUUUAUCUUACAUUGAUCUUUUGAUGUCGUCCCUUAUUUCACAUGUUUUCGAAAUAUUGAAGAUCAUUUUUCGCAAUGUUUCCUGAAAAUUGAUAAAUAUCAAAGCAACGUAGAGCUGUUUGUUCUUGUUCGUAUAAUAAAAUUGAGAAUGGAAAUGGGGAAUUUGUCAAAGAGACAACAACCCGACCAUAGAAAAACAUACAACAGCAGAAUUAAGAUCACCAACAGGUCUUCAAUGCAGCGAAAAAUUCCCGCACCCGGAGGCGUCCUUCAGCUGGCCCCUAUACAAUAUAUAUACUAGUUCAGUGAUAACGAUUUAAUGUCAUGUUUGUCUGUGAUGACCCCCCUUUUCGGGAUUGCAUGAGAAUUGUAGUUAUCUCGUACCCACAUGCACUUGUUUCUAUCCUAUUUAUAUGGAUAGUCGACCUUCCUAUGGAUAGAAACAAGUGCCUGUGCUCGUACCGCAUCAGAAGGACACAUAUCAACUGAGCAAUAAUGUUUGAAACUUAGUUUUAAAAAUGAUGACAAAGUAACAUUAUGAAAAUAUUUUUAUUAAGCUGAAAUAUACAUUUAUUCUUUACAUGUUUAUGUCUUGUAAGAUAUUUUAUUUCUUUCCCGUAUUUUAACAUUUGCG
rnacentral:lncRNA from 1 species